rnacentral:rRNA from 1 species
UACGAAGGGGGCUAGCGUUGUUCGGAUUUACUGGGCGUAAAGGGUGCGUAGGCGGGUUUUUAAGUCAGGGGUGAAAUCCUGGAGCUCAACUCCAGAACUGCCUUUGAUACUGAAGAUCUUGAGUCCGGGAGAGGUGAGUGGAACUGCGAGUGUAGAGGUGAAAUUCGUAGAUAUUCGCAAGAACACCAGUGGCGAAGGCGGCUCACUGGCCCGGUACUGACGCUGAGGCACGAAAGCGUGGGGAGCAAACAGG